ensembl:snRNA U6 U6 spliceosomal RNA
GUGUCACGCCCACUUUGGCAGCACAUGUACUAAAACUGGAACGAUACAGAGAAUAUUAGCAUGGCCCCUGCAUGUAGAUGACACGCAAAUUCCUGAAGUGUUCCAGUAGAAC